UACGGUAGGGGGCAAGCGUUGUCCGGAAUUAUUGGGCGUAAAGCGCGUGUAGGCGGCUCGGUAAGUCUGCUGUGAAAGUCCAGGGCUCAACCCUGGAAAGCCGGUGGAUACUGUCGAGCUCGAGUCCGGAAGAGGCGAGUGGAAUUCCUGGUGUAGCGGUGAAAUGCGCAGAUAUCAGGAGGAACACCAAUGGCGAAGGCAGCCCGCUGGGACGGUACUGACGCUGAGACGCGAAAGCGUGGGGAGCAAACAGG
rnacentral:rRNA from 1 species